rnacentral:rRNA from 1 species
GUAGUCCACGCCGUAAACGAUGUCGACUUGGAGGUUGUGCCCUUGAGGAGUGGCUUCCGGAGCUAACGCGUUAAGUCGACCGCCUGGGGAGUACGGCCGCAAGGUUAAAACUCAAAUGAAUUGACGGGGGCCCGCACAAGCGGUGGAGCAUGUGGUUUAAUUCGAUGCAACGCGAAGAACCUUACCUACUCUUGACAUCCAGAGAACUUAGCAGAGAUGCUUUGGUGCCUUCGGGAACUCUGAGACAGGUGCUGCAUGGCUGUCGUCAGCUCGUGUUGUGAAAUGUUGGGUUAAGUCCCGCAACGAGCGCAACCCUUAUCCUUUGUUGCCAGCGGUUCGGCCGGGAACUCAAAGGAGACUGCCAGUGAUAAACUGGAG